CUCAUGGAAUCGUUGCUGGAGUCUUGGUUCCUCUCAUUUUCUUUAUAUUUGCUGUAGUGAUCAUCAGAUGGAGAGUAAAAGGAAAGAAAAUCCCGACCAGUGAAAAUGCUGUUGAUCUUGGAGGUGAUGUUACCUACGCCACCAUCACACAUCCAGGGAAAAAUAAAAGAAAAAAUAAAGUUGGUGGAGAUGCUGAUGCUGUGACCUACAGCACAGUGAGAGCCUGUUCCUCUUCUGCUGCAGCCUCUGAUAAUCCCAACAACCUCUACAGCGUCAUAAGUUCCAAUAACUGAAACAGUAAAGCAGACCUGCUCUCUAUAGUGGUAACAUGGAAGUUUAGUAAAAGUACACAACUUUUCUCACCAAAUUAGCUCAAAAUUUCUGCAUUCAGGGACUAAAAAAACACAUUUAUACUGAGGCCUAAUAUGUUUGUUUCUAAUUUAUUCAAAUAUUACACAGAUGGUUUCUGGGUUUCACAGUAAUCAUCAUCAAAGGUCUGUAAACAAAUGGUUUUCAUAAAGCAAAGC